CCUUUCUCGCUUCAUCCGCGGUCCCUGUCUGUUUUCGUUAUGGCGCCUUGUACUUCUACCCAACGUUGCCCGCCCCCCAUCUUCCCAGCCCACCAGCUCCGUCCGCCUCUCCGGAUGAUUCGUGAGAUACCGAGCCUGCCGGGAAGGGACCGGAUUUUUCCGUCUGGUCCAAGGAAGCACGGGUUAUGGCCACAUGCGCAGUGAUAACUCAGGGCCCCACGCCUUUUGACCCCUGUUGAUGAAGAUUGUGAGGAGGGAGACCAGAAGAUAAUGGACAACGAUACAGCAGAAGGGUCUGGGCCAUGUAACCAGUGAAGCAGCCAUUAUAUAUGAUUUGGUCUACACUUGUUGGAAAAAUUCCACAAGAGGAUCUCCUGGAAGCUAGCAGAAGUUUUUGGCUUGUACAUUGCCAGGCAGCCAUUGGAAUCGGAGCUGCAGUCAGAUUAAGGCCAGCCUGGCCUACAUUGAGAAACCUCAUUUUGGGAAAGUGAAAUACUUUGUCAAUUAACAUGCAGUUGGUUCAAUAAAGACUUUUGGAAAGUGUCCUCU
rnacentral:lncRNA from 1 species